rnacentral:rRNA from 1 species
GACGAACCCUUUCGGCGUGCUUAACACAUGCAAGUCGAACGGAAAGGCCCUGCUUUUGUGGGGUGCUCGAGUGGCGAACGGGUGAGUAACACGUGAGUAACCUGCCCUUGACUUUGGGAUAACUUCAGGAAACUGGGGCUAAUACCGGAUAGGAGCUCCUGCUGCAUGGUGGGGGUUGGAAAGUUUCGGCGGUUGGGGAUGGACUCGCGGCUUAUCAGCUUGUUGGUGGGGUAGUGGCUUACCAAGGCUUUGACGGGUAGCCGGCCUGAGAGGGUGACCGGCCACAUUGGGACUGAGAUACGGCCCAGACUCCUACGGGAGGCAGCAGUGGGGAAUAUUGCACAAUGGGCGGAAGCCUGAUGCAGCAACGCCGCGUGCGGGAUGACGGCCUUCGGGUUGUAAACCGCUUUCGCCUGUGACGAAGCGUGAGUGACGGUAAUGGGUAAAGAAGCACCGGCUAACUACGUGCCAGCAGCCGCGGUGAUACGUAGGGUGCGAGCGUUGUCCGGAUUUAUUGGGCGUAAAGGGCUCGUAGGUGGUUGAUCGCGUCGGAAGUGUAAUCUUGGGGCUUAACCCUGAGCGUGCUUUCGAUACGGGUUGACUUGAGGAAGGUAGGGGAGAAUGGAAUUCCUGGUGGAGCGGUGGAAUGCGCAGAUAUCAGGAGGAACACCAGUGGCGAAGGCGGUUCUCUGGGCCUUUCCUGACGCUGAGGAGCGAAAGCGUGGGGAGCGAACAGGCUUAGAUACCCUGGUAGUCCACGCUGUAAACGGUGGGUACUAGGUGUGGGGUCCAUUCCACGGGUUCCGUGCCGUAGCUAACGCUUUAAGUACCCCGCCUGGGGAGUACGGCCGCAAGGCUAAAACUCAAAGGAAUUGACGGGGCCCCGCACAAGCGGCGGAGCAUGCGGAUUAAUUCGAUGCAACGCGUAGAACCUUACCUGGGUUUGACAUGGAUCGGGAGUGCUCAGAGAUGGGUGUGCCUCUUUUGGGGUCGGUUCACAGGUGGUGCAUGCCUGUCGUCAGCUCGUGUCGUGAGAUGUUGGGUUAAGUCCCGCAACGAGCGCAACCCUUGUUCACUGUUGCCAGCACGUUAUGGUGGGGACUCAGUGGAGACCGCCGGGGUCAACUCGGAGGAAGGUGGGGAUGACGUCAAGUCAUCAUGCCCCUUAUGUCCAGGGCUUCACGCAUGCUACAAUGGCUGGUACAGAGAGUGGCGAGCCUGUGAGGGUGAGCGAAUCUCGGAAAGCCGGUCUCAGUUCGGAUUGGGGUCUGCAACUCGACCUCAUGAAGUCGGAGUCGCUAGUAAUCGCAGAUCAGCAACGCUGCGGUGAAUACGUUCCCGGGGCU